rnacentral:lncRNA from 1 species
AAAUGUACAAUAUUUGUCGUGUCUUAAAGUAGAUAUAUCAUACUGAAGUUUUUUUUUUAAGUCAGGUUUAUUGAAGUUUAAUUUACAAACAGUAAAUUACAUCCUUUUUUUUAUCUGACAGGUGGCAUCUCCACAGAAAGCGACUGUGCUUUUGAGCCAGACUACGCAGUUCCACCACUUCCAGUGAGUGAAGCCCCUCUGAGGAAGGCAAAGUUUGUUGAGAGCCCACGAAUUCCAGAAUCCGAGCUUGGCUCACCAACCCUCACUUCAGCUCAGAAACUGGAUGUGGAUGCAUACUGCCCUGGUAAGCAUGCAUGCUAAGUGUCUGCUUUGAAAAAGGGAAAAUUGGAUUGGGGCCAUCUAGCAGAACAGUAUGUUACAUGUGUAGUGUUCAUAAAAACAUAUUUUCCACUUUUACAAAUAAUUGCAU